UACGAAGGGUGCAAACGUUGCUCGGAAUCAUUGGGCGUAAAGCGCACGUAGGCGGCUUCGCAAGUCGGAUGUGAAAUCCCUCGGCUCAACCGAGGACGUGCAUCCGAAACUGCGAGCUUGAGUACUGAAGAGGAUCGCGGAAUUCCCGGUGUAGAGGUGAAAUUCGUAGAUAUCGGGAGGAACACCAGUGGCGAAGGCGGCGAUCUGGGCAGUUACUGACGCUGAGGUGCGAAAGCGUGGGGAGCAACAGGG
rnacentral:rRNA from 1 species